rnacentral:lncRNA from 1 species
AGAAGCAGCUUCGCCAGACAGCCGCAACGUACAUGUUGACUGCCCGAGGCGGAAGUCGAUCGGCAGAGCGGAAGGGGGACCUGCAGAGGACCUUCCGACAGGUUGGUCAGACCAUGCCCAUGGUUCCUCCUCUCGACUUCACUAUGAAUGCCGCAUCUGUUGAAUGAAUGCAGUUUCUGCUCUUGCUUUUGGAUAGAAGUGAUUGCAAAUCUUAUCAAAAUAAUGAAAAAAAUUACUUUUCAAUUCCUUUUCAACCCUUUUGAGUCUGAGGGGCAGCUGUACAUUAAAUGAAACCAUAUGUAUCAUAAUUUCAUUUUUCCAUCAAAAGAGCUUUAAAGGAAAUUCCCCUUUUUCUCCAUGUUUUCAAUAUUUUUUGUUCCUUUUGUUAAAAUCAGAUUAAUC